rnacentral:rRNA from 1 species
AAUAGAUACCCCGGUAGUCCACCCCGUAAACGUUGGGAACUAGUUGUGGGGUCCUUUCCACGGAUUCCGUGACGCAGCUAACGCAUUAAGUUCCCCGCCUGGGGAGUACGGCCGCAAGGCUAAAACUCAAAGGAAUUGACGGGGACCCGCACAAGCGGCGGAGCAUGCGGAUUAAUUCGAUGCAACGCGAAGAACCUUACCAAGGCUUGACAUACACCGGAAACGGCCAGAGAUGGCCGCCCCGCAAGGUCGGUGUACAGGUGGUGCAUGGUUGUCGUCAGCUCGUGUCGUGAGAUGUUGGGUUAAGUCCCGCAACGAGCGCAACCCUCGUUCUAUGUUGCCAGCACGUAAUGGUGGGAACUCAUGGGAUACUGCCGGGGUCAACUCGGAGGAAGGUGGGGAUGACGUCAAAUCAUCAUGCCCCUUAUGUCUUGGGCUUCACGCAUGCUACAAUGGCCGGUACAAAGGGCUGCAAUACCGUGAGGUGAGCGAAUCCCAAAAGCCGGUCCCAGUUCGGAUUGAGGUCUGCAACUCGACCUCAUGAAGUCGG